rnacentral:misc_RNA from 1 species
AAGUCGUAACAAGGUUUCCGUAGGUGAACCUGCGGAAGGAUCAUUAUCGAGUUUUGACUGGGUUGUAGCUGGCCUUCCGAGGCAUGUGCACGCCCUGCUCAUCCACUCUACACCUGUGCACUUACUGUAGGUUUCAGAUGUUAUUAGCGGGGCCUUUACGGGUCUCGUGAAAGCGUCUGUGCCUGCGUUUAUUACAAACUCUUACAAGUAACAGAAUGUGUAUUGCGAUGUAACGCAUUUAAAUACAACUUUCAGCAACGGAUCUCUUGGCUCUC